GGCGUUCCCUCUUACUCAUGGGAGAUCAGCCUUUAUGUUCUAUUCAGACCUUCAGCUGAUUGGCCACUUUCGCCCUCUCCUUGUGGUCCUGUCAAACUCCUGGGAAGGUGGGGAACACUUGCCCUCCUACUUCCUUGCCUGCCUCAGCUCCUCGGCCCACUCCACUUGAGCUUCUGCCUCCUGCACUGUCAUUGGGUGAGUGGCUGAUGGCUCACUGACUGCCAAGUCCAGUGGACAUGGGCAGCCACACCUUACUUGACCUCUUUGGGACUCUCAGCCCUGCUGGCCUUGUCCCAUCUUCGGUCCCUCCCAAGGGCUUCUGAGGUGCCACCGUGCACUGCUGGUGUUUUCACAGCACUGACUGCCACUUUCUGGCUGGCCCCUUCAUCUUGUUUGCUGACUCCUGGUCUUGUGUUUCAGCCUCUAACCCUGGUGUUACCAGAGAUGUUGUAGGUUCUCUUUCAUCCUUGACCUUUUCCGUGGGGUGGGUCACAUCCUUUCUGCCCACUCACCAAUGGCCCUCAAACCUGCCCCACAUCCUUGACUUCUGCCUGUGUUCCCAACCUGUCUCUCCCACUGUUUCUGGACAUUUCUGUCCACAUGCCUCAAGACACAUUGACACACAACCUUCCCCAAACAGAACCCUUUAUCUUCCCACUCACACUCCCUUGAUAUAGCCUAUGGCCCCAACACCAGCCCCACACCGUCCUAUACUCCUCCCUCUCCUCAUGGUCAAUGGCCCACAGACGCUUCCAAGUGGACCUCUUAAUCCCCAUCACAUCCAUUCCUUCUUCCUCAUCCUUAACAACACAUCAAGCUGUCCAGCACCACUUCUUGUUUCCUUUCUAGCCUCCCUUUCUCCCAUUUUCUCACAUUGCUGGAAUGAUCUUGCUAAAAUACAGUUUAGUUGUAUCUGCCCCCACCCCCAGCUCUGGGGGCUAUUACACAGAGCUGCUUAUCAUUUGCUGUAAUUGUCAUGCCCUUUCACAUAUCUAUGGCUUAGCUCAUAUCAUUCCCCUAGCCCAGAAUUAUUCUUUACCCUUUCUGCCUUAUCACAAACUGCCUGGAAAUAAUAAAGCUUAGAGCAGGGUGAAAAAUAUAGAGAACAGAAGAAUGAUAGAGAAAAUUAAUGAAACCAAAGUUGGUUCUUUGAAAUGAUAAAAAAAAUUUGACAAACCUUUAACUAGACUGCCAAAGGAAAAGAAAGAUUCAAAUUACUAAAAUCAAGAACGAAAGAGACAAUUCCAUCUGCAUAUUUUUCAAAUAUAGACAAGUUGAUCUUAUAAUUCAUAUGGGAUUAAAGGAGCCCAGAAUAGCCCAAACAAUCCUGGAAACAAGGUUGGAGGAUGC
rnacentral:lncRNA from 10 species